UGUUCUGUGGAAGACACAUGAGAGGAGGAGGCAUUAGGACGGAAAUUGUGAACUAUAGUGAAGAAGGAAAGGAAAGAAAAUUGCGAGACACAGACAAGGGAGAAAAAUGCCUUUAUAGCAACAUUCCUCAUCAUGAGCCCUGGACGCAAUUCCCAAAUGGCAGAGGCUCUUUUUUAGCUUACUGGCGUGGUCACCAGACAUACUUGCAACGCAGUUGGGGAUUACUCGACAAACUAACUGCAGGGCAUUUCUAUCAAAUCAGCAAUUUUAUUGCAAUUUGCUUUCGUAUAGCUGUUUAUGGCACAUUUCACAAUCGAUUUUUUAUUUAUCUCUUUCUAUACCCCAGCUACUGGCACUCCCGAAGGCUACCCACUGGAUUCCCUUCUUUGUACACAACUACAGUCACAAUCCGGGACGGUCUUUAAUCCGGAAAUGGAUACUCCAUAGAGGAAUUCUCGGUUAAUCACUUUUUUUUCUUCGUCUUCAUCAUGACAAGGUGUUUUCCCUAUCAAUCCCUUCCUAGAUGCCCGGAGCCUUGGGAAACAUAAGCAAACCCAUCCUUGGGCCUUUGCAACUCCCUUUGUCAACUUCCCGAGCCGAAAUUGGUGGCCAUUGAGGGAGAAUUGAGUAAAACAUUUUUGCUGAAUAUCGAGAGUCUAAGAUGGCGGACGAGUUUUAUUGGAAGGAAACCCAUGGUCAGGAUUAUACAUACCAAUUAGGAAAUUCUCGACUGAAAUGGUCCAAAUAAUCCACAAAAUCACAGACGACACUUCUAAUGGCAAAAUCACACUCUCACUGUAGCUUUCCGAAACCCACAACUAAUGCUCCACGACAAUCACAGUGACUGUCCACAGGACAAUUCUCAGUCUACUUAGGAAAAGUCGGACUUUGCCUACAGUGAUUUUUAGGUAUUUUUUUUUAGUUAACCUAGAGAAAACGUUAACAGUAAUGAAUUAUUAAAAAAAAUUGAGCAAUAUUCCAAAAUAAAUAAUAUUAGUAAUAUAAAACUUGUUUGAUGGUAUGAGAAUAAAAUAAUUCUGUUUAAUAAUAAUUUAUUUAAUAAUAUUCGGUUCUGAGAAUCAAAUAGAGUGCCCGCUCACUAAUCCGGAUCGCCGCAAUCCGGACGAGUUAUCGACGGUAACAUUUAAAAUCAUUUUCAGGUUAUGGUUAUGUAUAUGUAUACACGAGUAUAUUCAGCAAUUAAAAUGCCUGUGAUGUUUUUGUUUAAUAAAUGAAGUAUAUAAUAGCAUAGAAUUCUCUAAUUAUGUCUUCUUAAACUUCUUUGAAACUUUUAUUCUAAUUCUAGAAAAAAAACUUGUAUUAUAUUUUCGAGACGUUGAACAAAUUCAAAAAAAUCAUCCGGAUUACGAAGCGGACAUCUGUCAUAUUGUCUCCCAAUCAUCCGGAUUACGAAGCGGGUAGGCAAUGUACAGUCAAUACAGUAGACUCUCUCAAAUUCGGGCAUUUUUGGGACCAAAAUGUUAUCCGAAUCAGAGAGAAAUUCGGGCUACAAGCUUUAUAAAAAACAACGAUUUUUUUUUAUUCAUCUGCAUACAUAUUGCUCCUUGGAAAUUACAAGGGGCCAACUCAUUUUUUGCGAUUUUGAGAUUUUACUAAUGCACUUAGAAAGACAAUUUAAUAAAUUUUCAGAUGAUAUAAGUCAUUAAAUUUCGUUAUUAGAAAAGUUUUUCAAUCUUUUUGAUUACUUGCAUAAUUUUGUUUGAAGUAAAGGGGCACAAAAUAUAUUUAUCGUUCAAAUUUUUGUGAAACAAGGGACUAACUCAAGCAAGUUGAUCAAUUAAGGGCUCUGCUUAGUAUAUUUUAUAGUUUUUAAGUCAUUCUAAUUCCAGCAAAAUUUACACAUCAUUUAGAACGACAACGACGACAACGAGCUAACUCAUUAAAAAACAUAUUUUGAAAAGUAAAAAUAUAAAA